rnacentral:rRNA from 1 species
GAUGAACGCUAGCGGCAGGCUUAACACAUGCAAGUCGAGGGGUAUAGGUUUUCGGACCUAGAGACCGGCGCACGGGUGCGUAACGCGUAUGCAAUCUACCUUUCACAGAGGGAUAGCCCAGAGAAAUUUGGAUUAAUACCUCAUAGUAUAGCAGUUUCGCAUGAAACCACUAUUAAAGUUCCAACGGUGAAAGAUGAGCAUGCGUCCCGUUAGCUAGAUGGUAAGGUAACGGCUUACCAUGGCUACGAUGGGUAGGGGUCCUGAGAGGGAGAUCCCCCACACUGGUACUGAGACACGGACCAGACUCCUACGGGAGGCAGCAGUGAGGAAUAUUGGUCAAUGGACGCAAGUCUGAACCAGCCAUGCCGCGUGCAGGAUGACGGUCCUAUGGAUUGUAAACUGCUUUUGUACGAGAAGAAACAUUCCGACGUGUCGGAACUUGACGGUAUCGUAAGAAUAAGGAUCGGCUAACUCCGUGCCAGCCGCCGCGGUAACAC